AGCACCGCCAAGUGAAGACCACGAGCUAGAGAAGUUUUGAAGCUUGAGAAAGAAACCCAGAAUCACCUCAGAGAAACCCAUCAUCACCAAGUCCGUACAGUAGCCAAGGGGAGCGGUUAAAGGGUUCAAAGGACAGGACAGCAGUAUGAAAAAGUCACAGCUAUCCUCUUUCAAGGGGCCUCAGUGGUGGAGCAGAUUAAACUGCUAAACCGCAGAACUUGCUGAAUGGAAGAGGUCCCAUAAGCAUUCACGGGAACCAUCUUCUAUCAGUUGCCUGGAAGUAAGAGACAAAUAGUCUGUGCUGCUUGCUUUUGGGUGAAUUAUGAAUGAACUGCAUUAAUAAUUGGAGAAGAAAAAAGACUGAUGAGCUCUCAGCACACUUGGUUUUAUAGCUUGACUACUCAACAUAGAACUUUGUACAGAAGCUCCAGUUGAAGCAACCAUUUCUGAGAUUUCAAUGAUUCUGAAUAAAAGCAGCGCAGAAAAAACCUAAUGCAAAUGUAUUAGAUAAAAUGUCACAGUGAUAAGAUGCAGCCUAAUCUUCUACCUUCCUCUUGGUUCAAUCCUUGAGACCUCUUAUCUCCACAUUCAGAGUCUCUAAGUCAUGUCCUUUGCUGCAGGCACCAGCAUCCCUCACCUUGCACCUGAAAGGCAAGUUAGUGCUGGCUUCCAGUUUACCCUUUUAAUGCCACACCUCCCUCGCUUAUUGGCAUGGGAAGUAUGUCCCAGUGUAGUCUAUAUGCAGAGAAAGUAGGGAGGAGAGCUAGAAAUCGCAGACUUAAAUUGUAACUCCACAAGUGUCUUCAAAGAUGACUGAGAGGGAGACAACCUAACCACUGCUGACAUUUGACUUAUUUGCUGUGACCAAAAACCAUUCUUGUUGCACUAGAGUGCACAUAUUGAUUUGUGUAUUAGGAAAUGUAACAGUCAUAUCUCUGUCACUUGGAAAAGCUGUGUAUCUCCAUAAGAUUAAAGAAAAGUAAAGCUACUAAUAAUAAUCUGUCCCAUCUAUGAGCGUGAUACGGAAUGCCCUGUAUCAGUAGGACCAAUAUACAUGGUUUCACUUCUGGUGUGAGAGAAUUGGCCAUCUGCAAGGACAUUGCCCAGGGGACGCCCGGAUGUUUUUAAUGUUUUUACAUCCUUGUGGGAGGGGCUUCUUUCAUAUCCCCGCAUGGAACUGGAGCUGACAGAGGGAGCACAUCUGUGCUUUCCCCAGGUGGGAUUCGAACCGCCGACAUGUCCGUCAGCAGUCCUGCUGGCACAAGGCUUUAACCCAUUGCGCCACGAGGCUCCUUUAUCAAUUUAUCCCAUUGAAAAUUAUAGUUUGCUAUUAUCCUUGGUUUGAUGUAUCCAUGCUAAGUUCAGGAACACAUCCCCUGUGGAUAUUGGAGAGAGGGAUCAUACUGUAUUGAGAUCAGUAGGUUAGCAUGCCUCACAAAUAAUGUUUUGCUUCUGUUAUUACUGUGUGCAGUUGUGAUACCAAAAUAACCAUGUACCAUUGACCUUUUACAUUUGCAGAUUUGAAUAUCACAAAAUUUGAUUAAAAUGUUUUCCCUUGGAAUCUUUAGGUUCUCCAGAGUAACUCUAUGAUCACAUGCUAGAGGACCUAGAGCAGGGGUCCUCAAACUUUUAAAGCAGAGGGCCAGUCCACAAUCCUUCAGAAUGUUGAGGGGCCGAAUUAUCAUUUGAAAAAAAAAAUACAAAUUCCUAUGCAUACUGCACAUGUCUUAUUUGUAGUGAAACAACAACAACAAAGAAAUAACAAUACAAUAUUUAAAAAUGAAAACAAUUUUAACCAACAUAAACCUAUCAGGAUUUCAAUGGAAAGUGUAGGUCUGCUUCUGGUCAAUGAAAUAGUCAAGUUAAUUAGGAUUGUUGUUGUUGUGUGACUUCAAGUCAUUUCAGACCAAGCCUAAGUCUAAAAUUAAUUAAUUAUUUACUGCAUUUAUUUACUACAUUUAUAUCCCACCCUUCUCACCCCGAAGGGGACUCAGAGCAGGUAUAUGUACAUACAAUAUAUUAUAUUAUUAGCAUAGCACAAUAUUAGCAUUAUAUAUUACUAUAGUGAACUAUACCACUAUACUAUUAUAUGUUAUGUAACAUAUAACAUAUAAUUAAUAUUAUUAUAUGGUAUUAUUAUUAGUAUUAUAUUGUAUAACAUAAUAUUAUUAUCAAUAUUAUAUGUAUAUACAAUAUAUUAUAUUAUUAAAACUAAUACAAAAAUAUUAUAUUAUAAAACUGAGGGUGGGGGCCAGGUAAAUGACCUUGGAGGGCCGCAUCCGGCCCCCGGGCCUUAGUUUGGGGACCCCUGACCUAGAGAUUCUAGUAAGGUAUUCUCUUGGGUAAACACAUUUCCAUACAUCUUCAUGUUAAUGGAAAUUGUGGAUUUUUUUUAUUCAGGCAUCACACACUGCUCCCUUGGCCCCUUCUAUGGCAUAUUCCUACCACCAGCAGUUACAAGUUGCCUAUCCCACUGGGACAGGCAGCUAAAAAAAGAAAUCAAAAUACAAUAUUUUGAGUGUUGUUCCUAGCCAUGAAUCUUUCAUUGCCCUUAAUCCAGUUUAAUUUUCUUAUAUCCAGCAACAUUUGUCCAUAUCUAUAUAUACCUAUGAAAGAAGAAACCAUGCAGUACACAGUGGGAUUAUGAAAGACAAUCCAUCAUGCAGUUUGGUGGUUUCUCACCACAAAAUCUCAUUUUUAACUUGCCAGUUAUGGAAUAAAUAUCAAACCACACAGGGGAGUUUAAUUGUGAACAGCACUAUAUUAGCAUCACAGUCCAGGACCUAGGCCAUGCCAAUGGACUCUUAACAUAUGAUACCUUCAGAAUCAAACGCCGGCGAUACACUCUCGUGGUGAUUCUCUGUUCUUCAUCUGAGCUUGAAUCACUCCCAAUCACAAUGUCACUGUCACUGUCACUGUCACUAAACUCCUGAUAAAUGCAGUUUUUAGUACAUUUUACCAGCUCAUUUAAAAGACAAACAUGAAUCUAAGCAGGAACAGAGGGGAGGAGGAAAAGGUUAUUCCCAACAUUAGUUCAUCCCCUAUAACAACACAAUAGGAAUGUGUGUAAAUCUGCUCUCGGGGUUGGCUAGUGUUUGAAUUUGGGGACACUCUGCUACGGUCAUGGCAACAUUGACCUCUAGAGGUUUUCAGACCCAACAUGGGUUUGUACAGGUACAGCCAUUAUGCUGUUUCCUUACAAGACACUGUUUACUCACAGAGAUGAACCCUUGGGAACCUGCCCAACUCCAUUACAAAACUCUCCGUUUCUUCUGUUGGUAAUCUACUGUUUGCAGGUCAGGUUCAUCCUCAAGAUUUCCUUCUCCCAUUCUUUGCUCUCGUUCCAGUGGUACUAAACAUGUUUCUCAGAACUAUAUUUUCUGUGAAGCUAAGUGGGCAACAGGAUCCUUAUGAGGACUUAGCUAGCACUAUCUCCAUUGGGCUCUCCACAUGUGACAUAAGGCCUCUGUGGCCUUUUGUAUAGGCUGCAAAAUGGCUUUGGGUUUAAAGAUGAAUUUCAAAUCCACCGAGCUCUUUCCUUCACUUAUACAACUUUCAUCUCUAGCUAACCAAUGAUUGCACCUUCAUGUGGCUCUCGACUGGCAACAGAUGGCAGUAAACACACACCUAACACUUUGGCCAAACAUGUUUGUUUUUUUUAGUGUGGAGGGUUUAGUGCCCUAUCCAUCCAAUUUGGAGGCAAGGUUUCCAAUAGAAAUCCUUUCCAAUCCUCUAUGACCUCUCUUUCCAGCCCUCUGAAUCUACAGUCUCUCUUGUCAUGGCUGAAGAAAGAUACAUAGACCAUCUUUGUUUAUCUGAUUAUAAUAAGACAUUUUUAUCUUUUAGGACAUGGGAAAUGUUUGAAAAGCUGUACUAAAUAAUUACCAAACCAUGUCCACAAUCACUAAUAUAGUUUAAUUUUUUAUUUAUUUUAAAACAGUGCAAUACAUUUGCUAUAAAGCAGGCAUGUAAUACACAAUACAAUAUACAAUACCCCUCAUAAAUCUUUUUAUAUCCACUGUUGCUUUCACGCUUAUAUAUUUCUAUCCCUCACUAGCGUGCUUCCCUCCCCCUGAGCCACUUCUUUUAAAUAUUAUCUGUCCAAUAUUUCAUUUCCUAAUAUAAUCACUAAUAUAAUGACACAACCAGUUUUGAAUGAUGGUUGUGGUUCUUAUUGCUAGAGAACCAUGGUGGAUUUGAGAUCUUUUUAAAAAUCAGAUUUGUGAGGAGAUGGCAUGAUGUAUGAAAAUUAACACACUCCCCAAUCCCUGCUCCCCUAUAUUAACUGUAGAUCUGAUGUGGCUGUGCCAUUUCUUCCAUCCUUUUCCUAAACUUAAAUCUUGGCAAGCUGGGCCCUAGCAAUGCAAUUCUCUGGAUGUUGGCCCUUGGAGAUAUAAAAAAGGGUGCAAUAGGAUGUAGCCACAGAAUAAUUGCCAUUCUGUAUGAACAAAAACAGCUGGGAUUUAUACCUUUGGUUCGGAGGCUGUUGCUCCCGCCUCUUCCUCAGCUUUUAGUCUCAUUUUGCUGUCGUUGGAAGUAUUCCCGCUUGUCUUUUUCAUGCUGACAGGCACAGAGGUUUUAGGCGCAUCAACUGCUGGCUUGCUAGAUUCUUGUAAAGAUUUCUGAUGCGAGAUCAUGUGCUGCUCAGUUCGGAGAGCACUUUGCAUUUUUGGUUUCACAGUUUCCUUCUCGCUUUGCUUUCUUAGACCGUUCGCAGACUCCUGAGCAAAAGACUUUGUCUUUACUGCUGUUGCAGAUUCUGAGUAACUUCCAUUGGUUUCCAGUUUUCCUGCUUCUCCUUUCAGGUAUGAGGUAAUAGAAUCUCUACAUUGGGCAGGGCUACAAAAGGAAGCAGGGACAGAUAGACAAACAAUUAAAUAAUGACACCAGGAUAUAGGGAUGGCUUAACAGCUGGGAAUUGUAACUAAAUCCCACGGCUCUUAAAAUGCUACAAACUCACUGCAAUUCUGCAGUGUGGAUAUAUACCGCAAGGGUUAGGAAUGAGUUGUGGUCACAUUUUCUGGUGGCAUUAAAUUGUCAAGUGAGAACAAAAAAAGAUGAGUUCCAAAAGGUUCUUCUCAAAUUGAGAGAAUAGACUGUAAAAUGACAAUUGUGGUUCAAAUUAAGUCAAGUGGGAAACAAUGCAUAAUGGGGUUUGGGGGUAGAAUCCCACUUCUCACAUUUGUGGUGGGGAGCAAGUAAGGGGAGACAUGACAGUUAGAUAUAAAAUAAUGCAUGGUGCAGAGGAAGUAUAUAGGACAGUCUGUCAUAAAACAAAAACAUGGCAUUAUUUAUUAAAGUUGAAAGUGAAGGAAAUUCAGGACAGAUAGAAUGAAAUUCGUUUUCACACAGCACACAAUUAAAACUGUAGAAUUAAUGCCACCAAAUGCCUCUAACUUGGAUGGUUUUCAGGUGGGACUGCAUAAAUUAAAGGGAAUAUGCCAUCAAUAAUAAUUAGUCAGGAUGCCUUAUCUAUCACAAGAAAUAUCAGACACAGAAUGCUUCUGUAUAUAGGUUUCUGGGAUUCACAAGAUUCAGGAUGCAAUCACAUGCUGUAGGGCAGUGGUUCUCAACCUGUGGGUCCCCAGAUGUUUUGGCCUUCAACUCCCAGAAAUCCUAACAGCUGGUAAACUGGCUGGGAUUUCUGGGAGUUGUAAGCCAAAACACCUGGGGACCCACAGGUUGAGAACCCCUGCUGUAGAGGGUCUUCCUACUGGUAAUGUGACUAGAAUAUUGUACUACAUAGGCUGUGGUCUGAAUCAUCAUGACUUUUAUAUUCAUAUCGACAAGAUGAAGGCACAGAUGUUGCCAUCAAAAUAUAAACCUCUUGGUCAUCUCUAUCUUGAGGUCAGGACUAGAAGAAUUGCAAGGGAGUCAUGAGAGCAUUGCAAUGUGAAAGCCUGCUGCCCGUAUAGCUUGUGUAUCAACUGUAAGGUGUUGUUGUGAAGGCAACAGCACCUAACUUCCACUAAAAUUUCUCAUCCUGUCCCUUUGCUUCAAAGGUAAGCCAGGUACAAAGGAAAAGAGCAGAAUGAUCUAUGUAGAUGAUUGACAGACCCCAAAGAAAACAAAAAGGUGUGAUGCACUUUGGUUGUAGCUAAUAUGGCAGGCAACAUCUUCCAGUCCAUUGCUCAUUAUUCUGGUUCCUUCGUGUGGCAUAGUCCUUCAGGAGAAUAGUCCCUCAGAAAUGAAAACUAACAAGAUUAAGGGGAAUAACCCAUGGAGAAAAAGCAAUUGGUUGAUUAUUUAUUUAUUUAAUAUUUAUGUCUUUUGUAUCCUGCCUUUCUCACCUGACAGGACUCGAGAUGAUAAAAGUUGUUACCCUGUCUCACCUCUAGAGACUCACCAUUACACCACAAGCUAGGUGAAUCAGAAUUUGGGAAAGUUAUACUUUUAAGACUACACUUCUGAGAAUUCUUGGAUUAUUAUAUAAGCGUCGCAAGGCUUGGUAGUCUUCCUGCAAGCCUCAUAAGACUUGCAGAAGGUCUACAAUAGGCUAUUAAAAAUGCUCAUCAUCACGCUGUACCAUCUCAAGUGCCCAAAAUGGUACAGAACUUAUUAAUCCCUAUUAAAAAUGGCCACCACAGCUCCCCUCCACCCCAUGUGUACAAAAUGUUGUCUGUGAUGUAUUCUUUGGGCUCCUCUGCAUUACUACUGAAAAAAGAAGCCCAAAGUUGUACAAGAAAGAAGGAGGGAUGGCUACCUUUCUUUCCCUGAUUUGGGAAAGGGAGAGGUAAUGGGAUGGGAACACCGCUUCUUUGUACUGUCCUGCCCUCUGGUGUUUGCAUUGGACCAACAAAAGAGGUAGGUGGAUUUCCUUGCUCUUUUGCCUUCCUUUUUCAGACUACUUUCUUAUUCUUUUUCCUCAUUUAUAUUUGUACUGAUGCAAACAUUUUAAGAUUAACAAUACAAUUUUCACACACUUCCUCAAUUGUAAUCAUUCAAAUAAACAGAUCCCCUCCCUC